rnacentral:rRNA from 1 species
CCUACGGGGGGCUGCAGUCGAGAAUCUUCCACAAUGGCCGAAAGGCUGAUGGAGCGACGCCGCGUGCAGGAUGAAGGUCUUCGGAUUGUAAACUGCUUUUGUAAGGGACGAAUUAGUGACGGUACCUUACGAAUAAGAGGUUGCAAACUCUGUGCCAGCAGCAGCGGUAAUACAGAGACCUCAAGCGUUAUCCGGAUUUAUUGGGCGUAAAGCGUCUGCAGGUGGUUUGGUAAGUUGGGGGUCAAAACCUCGCGCUCAACGCGAGAUCUGCCUCCAAAACUACCUUACUAGAGUAUGGGAGAGGUAAGCGGAAUUGCUGGUGUAGUCGUAAUAAGCGUUGAUAUCAGCAAGAACACCAAAUGCGAAGGCAGCUUACUAGAACAUUACUGACACUCAGAGACGAAAGCGUGGGGAGCAAACAGGAUUAGAUACCCCAGUAGUC